rnacentral:lncRNA from 1 species
GUACGCCACUUUGGCUUGCAAAUGAUCACUUUUGCUAUUUUCGAGGCCAAACUGGAAUGCUGGAGUUCUAAAUUCUGCGUAUCCCUUCUUGCAUGUGUCUUGUUGUCGACUUGCGCCAUCUUUCCCUGUGUUUCAGGCCUCACAAGAUUAAAACUUGGUAAGAAAGUAGACACGGAAGUGUGUCUCUGUCCAGUUCCACCUAAACUGUGCUGGCAGAAACUUUGGCUCCUGCUGCUUAGCUCCUUCAGCGACCUGCGAGUCUGUCUCACGAAAAGAUACCGACCGCCAUCUUGAAUUUCUAAGCACUAAACACGAAGAGAUGUGAGUUUCUCAAAAGAUGCUUCAGACCCUCUGAGCCCCUUUGUCUGCGUGGAACGGGUCUCUAGUCGCGGGUGGACAAAGCGUAGGAUGAGUGACAAACAGACGCACACAGGAGAGGUCGAGGAAUCUGAAUGUCAUUUUUCAAAUCGAGCAUCAGACUUUUUAUGCAGAAGACAAUAAGGAAGUUGGAUGACAUACCUGCAAGCUUUCCCAGAUAUCUCUGAAGAUACCAUUUUGAAUAGGACUCACAUCACUCACUGCCUUGGUAGGGUCAUCUUUGUUCCACAAGAGGAAAACUGUCCACGAGAGUUCUAGGAUGGAUUUACCAGCUCUUCUUCUCUCCUGAAGACUGUUGUCCUGCCUAUGCCCAGACCCAUCUACAUCAGAUCUGAGGAGUGAGUCUUCUAAACUAUGAAGGACAUAUUAUAAUAUUCAAUAAACAAUCUGUGGCCUCCAUAUGCACAGAAUGUGAUGCUGGGCAAACAGAGAGCUCUGAGCAAAAGUUCUAAGAAAGAAAGUCUUCUAAUGGAAGCAUCUGCAAGCCUGAUGAACUAAUUUGAACCUCAGUGACCAUGAAGAGUUUGGAAUGUUACAGGUCCAGGGUCUAUUUACAAUUCAUCUUGGGUUAUCUUUAGCUCUCUAAGUAGCCAUUCUUUCCUUAUAUUUGUGUGAACCUAACAUUCUGUGCCUAACAGAUUAAGAAGUCUUUUGGAAUGUAGUAAAUCUGUGGCUUCCACUAAUUGAAAGACUGAGUGUCAUCAGGUAGUACCUGAGCCCUACAGUCAAUACUUCUCUGCAUGUUUUCACUAAUGUACCUGAAAACUGCUUUGAUCUUUUUAGUUUCUUUGUUCUGUUACUAUAAACUAAUUCCACAUUGGAACAUGGAAUUUGACACUACACCCGUGUUCCCAGGCUAUGGUCGCUCUUAUUUGGCUCUGGAAUAAAUUGAAAUGAGAUGUGUGCUUCUGCCUCAACAUUAAAUUUUCUGGUGAUAACCAUUACCCAAAGUGGUUCACAGAAGGUUUUAUCUUGGCUGGGCAAAUCACAGUGGUGGGGGAGACAUGUCAAGGGAGACUGGAGAAGGAAGCUGAGAGAUCCCAUCUUCAACCACAUGUAGAAAGCAGAGUGUAAGGCCUGGAAGUGGGGCCAGGCUAUAAACCCCCAAAGCCCAUCCACAGUUCUGCAAGGAAAGCUUCCAUCCAUGACCUUGCCAGACAAUGCUGGUCGCUGGGGACUGAUGGUGAAGUCCAUGAGUCAGUGAGGGAACAUUUCUUGUUCAAACCAUCACACCAUAUAAAUUUGAGAGACAG